CUCUUGCAAAAAAUAUUUGGGCAAAUGUAAUAACCUGUAUGGUCUGCAUUCAAGCUUGAACAUGAAGAACUUACACCAGAACAGAAGGAGACAGUUUCAGAUCUUGCAUUAUCUUGGGAUCUCCCGGCAGUCACCAAAACAAAUUGGAGAUGGCUACAUAACCUGCUGGUUAACUUAACUGGCACAAUUCAUAGCUAAUGCUGGCAGGGAUAAAAUGGUAAGGUUUUAGUUGUGUAAUUCAUGCUUUGGCCAUUGUCAUGUUUAAGUUUUUCACAACCACCAUUUAAUGCAUAGCUUAUGUAAGUAGAAUGGUAUUUAUAGUUUAACCACAGCAUUUCUCACGCCUGUUGAGUGUUGAAAUUUAGGUUGAGGAUUUCAGCUGUAAUAUUUGUUGGGUCCGUCUCUUUAGGUCAUUGGGAGAACCAUGCGCCAAAUUAAACAGUUGAGAAAGGGGCUGAAAGAUGUGAUGGUAUGGCCACUUCUGACAUCUAGACCAGAUGUAGUCCCACCUCUUUUCCCCGAAAUGGCUGAUUUGCAGUUCACACCUCAGGUAAGGCAGGAUUUCAGGUUUUUUUUAACUUCACUGUAUGAAUUUGUGUAUUUUCAAUGACUGAGCUGUUAUAUUUUUCCAAUUACCAAAAAUGUGAUCUGAAUAUUCCUUUAACAAAGUAAGUUCAAAUAUGCCCAGUUGUUUUCUCUUUUUUUGUUUCUAAAGAUGCUCCUGCAAAAAAUCACAUGGCCAGUUGAGGACAGUGAUGAUGAGGACUUUGACGUAGAGUCUACAUGCCGCAUCACUGGCUUUCCGAGGAUGUUCAUUGAAACAGGUAUGAAACCGUUUAUUUUGCUAAUGUUCUUGUAUUGCUCUCUUUUUAAAUGUUUCAUGGAUAGAGAUGACCAAUUGGAGUCAAACUAAGUGUUGUCUUCGAUCUGUUUUAUGACUUUUAGCCUCAUCAGGUAUCUGGUCAAGCUACUGAAAUUCUGGGUUGGCUGGGAGAUGCUUCCUCCUGAGCUCAGAGUGGAGAUCUCUGGAGGAAGUCUUCCUACGUCCUCUACAUGCUUUAAAACACUGAAGCUGCCAGCUCAUUUCAAAACCUACGAGGAGUUUGAGGAAGCACUUUUCACAGCCAUAAAUAGUGC